UACGUAGGGGGCAAGCGUUGUCCGGAUUUAUUGGGCGUAAAGAGCGUGUAGGCGGCCAGGUAGGUCCGUUGUGAAAACUCGAGGCUCAACCUCGAGACGUCGAUGGAAACCAUCUGGCUAGAGUCCGGAAGAGGAGAGUGGAAUUCCUGGUGUAGCGGUGAAAUGCGCAGAUAUCAGGAAGAACACCCGUGGCGAAGGCGGGUCUCUGGGCAAUGAACUGACGCUGGAGGAGCGAAAGCGUGGGGAGCGAACAGG
rnacentral:rRNA from 1 species